rnacentral:rRNA from 1 species
UGGGGAAUAUUGCACAAUGGGCGAAAGCCUGAUGCAGCGACGCCGCGUGCGGGAUGAAGGCCUUCGGGUUGUAAACCGCUUUUAAUUGGGAGCAAGCGAGAGUGAGUGUACCUUUUGAAUAAGCACCGGCUAACUACGUGCCAGCAGCCGCGGUAAUACGUAGGGUGCAAGCGUUAUCCGGAAUUAUUGGGCGUAAAGAGCUCGUAGGCGGUUUGUCACGCCUGGUGUGAAAGUCCAUCGCUUAACGGUGGAUCUGCGCCGGGUACGGGCAGGCUAGAGUGCAGUAGGGGAGAUUGGAAUUCCCGGUGUAACGGUGGAAUGUGUAGAUAUCGGGAAGAACACCAAUGGCGAAGGCAGAUCUCUGGGCUGUUACUGACGCUGAGGAGCGAAAGCAUGGGGAGCGAACAGGAUUAGAUACCCUGGUAGUCCAUGCCGUAAACGGUGGAUGCUGGAUGUGGGACCCUUCCACGGGUUCCGUGUCGGAGCUAACGCGUUAAGCAUCCCCGCCUGGGGGAGUACGGCCGCAAGGCUAAAAC